rnacentral:lncRNA from 1 species
AUGCUGCAGCUCACCGCAGAUGUCACCCCAACAGCCACACUCAGGCCUCCCUCAAAUAGAAUCUUGGAUGAAUUUUCUCAUCAAGCUCCACCCUUAAAUCUAUGCCCAAAAACUUUUUUCUUCCCCCCAAAGAUCAGUGAGUUAACCAACUCUCAGGGACACACAGCCCAAAAGUGGCUCCCAAAUCAGAUGUAUGCACAUUUAACUUUGAAAUUCCUGCUUAAAGAAAAGCCACAAGCACACAUCUUAGUGUGAUAGACGUGAUAAAUUUGAGUCGAAUCCCCCCAAAACACACCCAAGACAUAACCCCACAUAACUGCUUUGUUUGCCCCUGCUUUCAGAAAUGGUCAAACCCCAUUUUCUUUAUUUAAGAGCAGCAAAAUGUUUUCCACAUAUUUAUGUGAAAAAAGAGCCAGGCUCUUCUCAGUGGUGCCAAGUACUAGAACAAGAGGCAGCAGUGAAAAACUGAUGCUUAGAAAGUUCCACCUGAACGUGAGGAAGAACUUUGUUGCACAGGUGAGGCUGUGGAGUUUCCCUCCACUGGAAAUACUCCAGACCUGUCUGGACACAAUCUUGUGCCCUCUGCUCUGGGAUGACCCUGCCUAAGCAGAGAGGUUGGGACAGGUGACCCCACUGUAGUUCCUUCCAACCUGAACCUGUGCUUCUGUGUAUGAAAGAUUGCAUUGAUGGGAAAUUUUCUGAUACAAAGGUUCAUCCAUAAAAUUUUACAAACUUGCACGUGUCUCAAAACAGGAACUUGGUCAGUUGCACGUAUAAUUAUUGUUCUUGAGUCAGCCCAUGAAAUCUGCUUGCAGGUGAGUGUAUUCCUCAGCACUAGUUCCAUGCAGAUACAAAAGCAGAGUUUAAGGCAGACAAGAGAUGAGAACCCCCACAAUCCCAGCAAAUGCUGACUGAGCAUUCCACAGGACUUUACUGGGAGAGUGAUUAGAAAGCAACCCUGGUUUUUACAGGUCAAAACUUCAAGAAGACCUGACUUGCAUCACCGGCUACAGACCUUCAAGAUCCCGAACCAAGCUAUUCAGUCCGGGUCGGAGCAUCCCGUUCCUGCGGGGUCCCCAAGCUCCGGCCGAGCUGCGCGGGGGUCCCGGCGGGCGCGCAGCGAUCCCCGCUCGUCCUGCGGAGGGAAUCCCCGCGGGAACCCCCGAGGGACACCCUCCCGUGCCCGACACCCUCCCGUGCCGAACACCCUCCUCCUCCUCCCCGGGGGAGGCGAGCGGCGGCACCGAGCC